rnacentral:sRNA from 1 species
GGCUGCAACAACCCCGUGGAUGGGGGAGGCUUGAUCGGCCCGGUGUCCGCUGCUGGGCUUCUUGAAAUCUUCAGUGCAUCCACUGCAGCU